CAGUAGCCGCGGUAAUACGUAGGUGGCGAGCGUUGUCCGGAAUCAUUGGGCGUAAAGGGAGCGCAGGCGGGCAUGUAAGUCUUUCUUAAAAGUGCGGGGCUCAACCCCGUGAUGGGAAAGAAACUAUGUGUCUUGAGUACAGGAGAGGAAAGCGGAAUUCCCAGUGUAGCGGUGAAAUGCGUAGAUAUUGGGAGGAACACCAGUGGCGAAGGCGGCUUUCUGGACUGCAACUGACGCUGAGGCUCGAAAGCCAGAGGAACGAACAGGAUUAGAUAUCCCCGUAGUCCCUGUCUCUUAUACC
rnacentral:rRNA from 1 species